rnacentral:rRNA from 1 species
UACGGAGGGUCCAAGCGUUAUCCGGAAUCAUUGGGUUUAAAGGGUCCGUAGGCGGUUUUGUAAGUCAGUGGUGAAAGCCCAUCGCUCAACGGUGGAACGGCCAUUGAUACUGCAAGACUUGAAUUAUUGGGAAGCAACUAGAAUAUGUAGUGUAGCGGUGAAAUGCUUAGAGAUUACAUGGAAUACCAAUUGCGAAGGCAGGUUGCUACCAAUACAUUGACGCUGAUGGACGAAAGCGUGGAGAGCGAACAGG